CGGGGUGUUGCUCAGCUUGGCAGAGCGCCUGGUUUGGGACCAGGAGGUCGCAGGUUCGAAUCCUGUCACCCCGA
rnacentral:tRNA from 1 species